GGGAGCUGGUCCUGGUUGUCCCCGCCGGGCUCUCCUGACAGGGUGGUGUCCAGCAGGUGGAAGUCUUCUGUCUGUCCAGCACCUAACACGCAACAAGGCGCCCCACGUCUGCAAAGCUCUUCAGCAGCGUCUCAGCAGCCUCCACAGCGAGCCUGCGGGCAGGCAGAGCCGCGCCAACCGCAGUUACGGUAAAACAACAACAACAACACAGCCCCCCCUGGAGCCAGGAGUGCCCAGUGGAAGUGGUGUGCAACUUCUGGGCAAUGUCCUUAAAUAGGGAGGGAGUCCUGCUCUUUGCCUUUCCUCCUUCCAUCUGGCCAGAAGGUGGAUGCAAUGGCUCGAGCUACAGAAGUCACAUUGGACCAUGAAGUGACCUUGGGAAUGGAAACCGUGCAGGUGGAACAGCAAGACAGAAGGAGCCCGGGUUCCUGACAGUGCGGGGCAACACGCCAGCCCCAGACUGCCUGCUUCCAGGCGCUCACCCCAAAGAGAGGGAAACUAUUGGAGGUUUUCGAUGACUCACAGCUGAAACAAAUUAAACAGCAUACUAACCCAUUUUGUUACCACCGAAAGCACAGACCACUAGCAAGAAACUUAGAAAGGUCAGCAACAGAGUGUGAUGGAUGAAAGACCUCAGCACUAUUCAGUGAUCAGGCGGUGUGGGGAGGAGAUUUUACCUCGAGGCGUGGAUGACGUAAUCUGCAAUAUCGCAGACUGUGGCUGCCUGGGUGCGUGCUGCCUGUCUGCCAAGAAGGUCGAUAAAUAAGUAAACUUCUCUGCGGCUCUGGGUUGGUUAGCCUGGAGAGAGAAGUUCUCAUACUUCUAACCCUUAACAGGAUCUUUUCACAAAUGUCUAUGAUCUUAUCUGUGUAGCCACUAGACCCCCGGAAGGCACAGCCAGGUGAGAGUGUAAGUACUGGCUGAAGGACCUGGGCGAUUCGGCCUCGGGAAGAAAUUCUGGAGCUGGGCGCUGGGGAUCUGAGAGCUGCGUUCACACAUCAAAAUAAAAAAGGGUUUAGGCUUCUUCCUGGAGAACCCGAGGCCAAAACCAGGACGGUCUACCUAAUAUUGUAUCAUUAUGUUAAAAAAUAGGGGCCGGUCCCAUGGCCGAGCGGUUAAGUUCGUGUGCUCCACUGCAGCGGCCCAGGGUUUUGCCAGUUUGGAUCCUGGGCGUGGACAUGGCACUGCUCAUCAAGCCACGCUGAGGUGGCGUCCCACAUGCCACAACUGGAAGGACCCACAACUAAAAAAUGUGCAACUAUGUACCAGGGGGCUUUGGGGAGAAAAAGGAAAAUAAAAUCUUUAAAGAAUAGACCUAGUUUACAUUAGCACCAACAGAAUAGAAGAGUGUUUAUUUCCCUCUAUCCUUAUCAAUGUCAGAUAUUAGCAGCCUUUUAAUUUUUGCUAAUCUUCAGGACAAAACGUUUGAGAACUGCUGGUUUAGAGCACUUCUUAAAUGAGAGAAGCUUUUCUUUUGGGAUGCCUGGAAUCAAAGUUCUGUUUAAAAAGAAUUUUAAAUUUUAUUUUAUAUUGUAGAAAUUUGUACAAUGAAAUGUAAUGACUUAGAACACAUUAGCUGUUUUUAAAUUCCAACAGCGAAUUUCCCUGCUACUUCUGACAAAACUGAUCUUUUUUGUGCAUACUCAUGUCAAACUCAAGAAUUUCAAAUUAGCUUUAGCAAAAGCAAAUAUUUACAUUUAAAAAGAAAACAUCUGAACUCAGAACUCAUGAAGAUAAAAAAGUUUAAUAACUGAAGAUGUCUUAUUAGUUGAUGUCGCUAAUGGCAACAUCUAGGUCACAUAACUUAUAUUGACUUAAAACAGCGUUCCCACUAGCUUUGUGCGACCAUAUACACAAUUAUUGCAAUAAAGGAUUAAAAAAAGAAACGCCUAGUCUCCAUAUUUCCACAAAAAAACUGUUGAAAGAACAAAUUUCUGCUCAGUUGUUUUUUCC
ensembl:lncRNA